rnacentral:rRNA from 1 species
UACGUAGGGUGCAAGCGUUGUCCGGAAUUAUUGGGCGUAAAGAGCUCGUAGGCGGUCUGUUGCGUCGGCUGUGAAAACCUGGGGCUCAACCCCGGGCCUGCAGCCGAUACGGGCAGACUAGAAUUCGGCAGGGGAGACUGGAAUUCCUGGUGUAGCGGUGAAAUGCGCAGAUAUCAGGAAGAACACCCGUGGCUAAGGCGGCUCUCUAGUACGGUACUGACGCUGAGACGCGAAAGCGUGGGGAGCGAACAGG